ACUAGCGGUGGAAGGGGCGGAGGAGGCGCAAAGGGCGCGCUCCGGAGUCACGUGACCGGGACGCGCCGUUCUUCCGUCGGCCAUUUUAGGUGGUCCGCGGCGGCGCCAUUAAAGCGAAGGAGGAGGCGAGAGUGGCCGCCGCUGCUUUACUUAUUCUUUUUUUUUUCAGCGCGGCCGGGGAGAGUGCGAGUGCGCGCUGCGCGAGAGUGGGAGGCGAGGGGGGCAGGCCGGGGAGAGGCGCAGGAGCCCUUGCAGCCACGCGCGCGCCUGGCCUUGUGUGUGUGUGCCUCGCGAGGUAGAGCGGGCGCGCGGCGGCGGCGGCGGCGGCGGCGGCGGGGAUUACUUUGCUGCUAGUUUCGGUUCGCGGCAGCGGCGGGUGUCGUCUCGGCGGCGGCGGCGGCGGCGGCGGCAGUAGCACGAUGUCGGAGGAGCAGUUCGGAGGGGACGGGGCGGCGGCGGCGGCAACGGCGGCGGUAGGCGGCUCGGCGGGCGAGCAGGAGGGAGCCAUGGUGGCGGCGGCGCAGGGGGCAGCGGCGGCGGCGGCGGCGGCGGCGGGAAGCGGGAGCGGCGGCGGCGGCGGCUCGGCGGCCGGAGGCACCGAGGGAGGCAGCGCCGAGGCCGAGGGGGCGAAGAUCGACGCUAGUAAGAACGAGGAGGAUGAAGGCCAUUCAAACUCCUCCCCACGACACACUGAAGCAGCGACGGCACAGCGGGAAGAAUGGAAAAUGUUUAUAGGAGGCCUUAGCUGGGACACUACAAAGAAAGAUCUGAAGGACUACUUUUCCAAAUUUGGUGAAGUUGUAGACUGCACUCUGAAGUUAGAUCCUAUCACAGGGCGAUCAAGGGGUUUUGGCUUUGUGCUAUUUAAAGAGUCGGAGAGUGUAGAUAAGGUCAUGGAUCAGAAAGAACAUAAAUUGAAUGGGAAAGUCAUUGAUCCUAAAAGGGCCAAAGCCAUGAAAACAAAAGAGCCCGUCAAAAAAAUUUUUGUUGGUGGCCUUUCUCCAGAUACACCCGAAGAGAAAAUAAGAGAGUACUUUGGUGGUUUUGGUGAGGUUGAAUCCAUAGAGCUCCCCAUGGACAACAAGACCAAUAAGAGGCGUGGAUUCUGUUUUAUUACCUUUAAGGAAGAGGAACCAGUGAAGAAGAUAAUGGAAAAGAAAUACCACAAUGUUGGUCUUAGUAAAUGUGAAAUAAAAGUAGCCAUGUCGAAGGAGCAGUAUCAGCAACAGCAGCAGUGGGGGUCUAGAGGAGGGUUUGCAGGAAGAGCUCGUGGAAGAGGUGGUGGCCCCAGUCAAAACUGGAACCAGGGAUAUAGUAACUAUUGGAAUCAAGGCUAUGGCAACUAUGGAUAUAACAGCCAAGGUUACGGUGGUUAUGGAGGAUAUGACUACACUGGUUACAACAACUACUAUGGAUAUGGUGAUUAUAGCAAUCAGCAGAGUGGUUAUGGGAAAGUAUCCAGGCGAGGUGGUCAUCAAAAUAGCUACAAACCAUACUAAAUUAUUCCAUUUGCAACUUAUCCCCAACAGCGGGAACUUCAUUGCAGGCCCUGUGUCGCGCUGACUUCACGAUUCUCACAGGCCCGCUCAAUGCGGACAGGGUACGAGAUGCUCACGCUCUCGAAUGCUGCCGUUUGGUGGUGAAGCAGUAUUUUCCAAUUUGAAGAUUCAUUUGAAGGUGGCUCCUGCCACCUGCUAAUAGCAGUUCAAACUAAAUUUUUUCUAUCAAGUUCCCGAAUGGAAGUAUGACGUUGGGUCCCUCUGAAGUUUAAUUCUGAGUUCUCAUUAAAAGAAAUUUGCUUUCAUUGUUUUAUUUCUUAAUUGCUAUGCUUCAGUAUCAAUUUGUGUUUUAUGCCCUCCCCAACCCCCCAGUAUUGUAGAGCAAGUCUUGUGUUAAAAGCCCAGUGUGACAGUGUCAUGAUGUAGUAGUGUCUUACUGGUUUUUUAAUAAAUCCUUUUGUAUAAAAA